GGCGGGGGACCCCUGAAGUUCACCAAGAUCGAACGCCCUGGCUGCCCGUAACUUCCCAGAACACCGGGUGGCCUGAACCGCCAAGGGAGUCUGCUUUCACGACGUUUUCACGACACCCAGCCGCUCUGCUCACCGGCGCCCCCGGGCGGCAGCGGCGAGCACGAACAGCUUAGGCCCGCAGGUACAGAAGCCCGUGGACAGGAGAAACCUGCUUAUUCUAAGUCUGGACUAGAAACAAAUCAGUUCACUGUUCUAACCUUACAAAUCUAACCUUACAAAUGCUCCUACCAUUUUGUUAUAAAUUUGAGCUUGAACCCAGGGCCUUGAAUCCAGGUCGGGCAAGAACCAUACCAGUGAAAGGCCACCACGUGGU
rnacentral:lncRNA from 1 species